AAAUUGAAGAGUUUGAUCAUGGCUCAGAUUGAACGCUGGCGGCAGGCCUAACACAUGCAAGUCGAGCGGCAGCGGAAAGUAGCUUGCUACUUUGCCGGCGAGCGGCGGACGGGUGAGUAAUGUCUGGGAAACUGCCUGAUGGAGGGGGAUAACUACUGGAAACGGUAGCUAAUACCGCAUAACGUCGCAAGACCAAAGAGGGGGACCUUCGGGCCUCUUGCCAUCAGAUGUGCCCAGAUGGGAUUAGCUAGUAGGUGGGGUAACGGCUCACCUAGGCGACGAUCCCUAGCUGGUCUGAGAGGAUGACCAGCCACACUGGAACUGAGACACGGUCCAGACUCCUACGGGAGGCAGCAGUGGGGAAUAUUGCACAAUGGGCGCAAGCCUGAUGCAGCCAUGCCGCGUGUAUGAAGAAGGCCUUCGGGUUGUAAAGUACUUUCAGCGGGGAGGAAGGCGUUGAGGUUAAUAACCUCAGCGAUUGACGUUACCCGCAGAAGAAGCACCGGCUAACUCCGUGCCAGCAGCCGCGGUAAUACGGAGGGUGCAAGCGUUAAUCGGAAUUACUGGGCGUAAAGCGCACGCAGGCGGUCUGUCAAGUCGGAUGUGAAAUCCCCGGGCUCAACCUGGGAACUGCAUUCGAAACUGGCAGGCUAGAGUCUUGUAGAGGGGGGUAGAAUUCCAGGUGUAGCGGUGAAAUGCGUAGAGAUCUGGAGGAAUACCGGUGGCGAAGGCGGCCCCCUGGACAAAGACUGACGCUCAGGUGCGAAAGCGUGGGGAGCAAACAGGAUUAGAUACCCUGGUAGUCCACGCCGUAAACGAUGUCGACUUGGAGGUUGUGCCCUUGAGGCGUGGCUUCCGGAGCUAACGCGUUAAGUCGACCGCCUGGGGAGUACGGCCGCAAGGUUAAAACUCAAAUGAAUUGACGGGGGCCCGCACAAGCGGUGGAGCAUGUGGUUUAAUUCGAUGCAACGCGAAGAACCUUACCUACUCUUGACAUCCAGAGAACUUUCCAGAGAUGGAUUGGUGCCUUCGGGAACUCUGAGACAGGUGCUGCAUGGCUGUCGUCAGCUCGUGUUGUGAAAUGUUGGGUUAAGUCCCGCAACGAGCGCAACCC
rnacentral:rRNA from 1 species